ACGAACGCUGGCGGCGUGCUUAACACAUGCAAGUCGAACGGAAAGGCCUGCUUUCCCUUGUGGAUUGCGGGUACUCGAGUGGCGAACGGGUAAGUAACACGUGAGUGAUCUGCCCCCAACUUGGGUAUAAGCCUGGGAAACUGGGCCUAAUUCCCGAUAGGACUGCAGGGUGGUGCCUGUGGUGGAAAACGAUUUUCUAGUGGUUGGGGAUGAGCUCGCGGCCUAUCAGCUUGUUGGUGGGGUAAUGGCCUACCAAGGCGGCGACGGGUAGCCGGCCUGAGAGGGUGGACGGCCACAUUGGGACUGAGAUACGGCCCAGACUCCUACGGGAGGCAGCAGUGGGGAAUAUUGCACAAUGGGCGGAAGCCUGAUGCAGCGACGCCGCGUGGGGGAUGACGGCCUUCGGGUUGUAAACUCCUUUCGACCGCGAGGAAGCCACCUGGUUGGAAGGGUGGUGACGGUAGUGGUAGAAGAAGCACCGGCUAACUACGUG
rnacentral:rRNA from 1 species